rnacentral:rRNA from 1 species
UGGGGAAUACUGGACAAUGGGCGCAAGCCUGAUCCAGCCAUGCCGCGUGUGUGAAGAAGGUCUUCGGAUUGUAAAGCACUUUAAGUUGGGAGGAAGGGCAUUAACUUAAUACGUUAGUGUUUUGACGUUACCGACAGAAUAAGCACCGGCUAACUCUGUGACAGCAGCCGCGGUAAUACAGAGGGUGCAAGCGUUAAUCGGAAUUACUGGGCGUAAAGCGCGCGUAGGUGGUUUGUUAAGUUGGAUGUGAAAUCCCCGGGCUCAACCUGGGAACUGCAUUCAAAACUGACUGACUAGAGUAUGGUAGAGGGUGGUGGAAUUUCCUGUGUAGCGGUGAAAUGCGUAGAUAUAGGAAGGAACACCAGUGGCGAAGGCGACCACCUGGACUAAUACUGACACUGAGGUGCGAAAGCGUGGGGAGCAAACA